UGGGGAAUAUUGGGCAAUGGGCGCAAGCCUGACCCAGCCAUGCCGCGUGAGUGAUGAAGGCCUUCGGGUCGUAAAGCUCUGUGGGGAGGGACGAACAGCCAGGCGGUUAAUACCCGCAGGGUCUGACGGUACCUCCUUAGCAAGCACCGGCUAACUCCGUGCCAGCAGCCGCGGUAAUACGGAGGGUGCAAACGUUGCUCGGAAUUAUUGGGCGUAAAGCGCACGUAGGCGGUCUCGUAAGUCGGGUGUGAAAGCCCGGGGCUCAACCCCGGAAGUGCACUCGAAACUGCGAGGCUUGAGUACGGAAGAGGGUCUCGGAAUUCCCGGUGUAGAGGUGAAAUUCGUAGAUAUCGGGAGGAACACCAGUGGCGAAGGCGGAGACCUGGGCCGAUACUGACGC
rnacentral:rRNA from 1 species